rnacentral:sRNA from 1 species
AAAAACCCACUUAGAACUGUAUGGCGUAUACGUAUACUAGACAAUCAAAGUGGAUUUUUAAGUUCCUUGAGGAACUGGAAAAUAUACCAAGGUUCCAAUAACAAAAGUGGAUUUGUUAUAUAUCAGAUCUCAAAAACGCUUUAUAAGACUGACUAUAAGAGUAAGAGGGAUGCCAGGGGGUUGUCUGAGGAGAAACUUAACUGGAAGUUCCUUUUCAUCCGAUUCUAGUGUUUCAGCAAAACGUUUGUAAUAGAUUUCGACAGAAUGUCAUUGAACUUCGAGAUAACAAAAAAGAAGCUACGCCCAUCGGAAAUCUUCUUCAGUAAAAUCUCGAUUGAAUGCGACUCAUUAAAGUUAGAAAACGAUAUCGAAAAAAUAUGCACUGGCAAAUGUUCCUUGAAGUAUGAAAGGAUAGAAGUUUAUGAGAUUCAAGGGAAAUACUGUGCUCUAAAUAAUGAACUGCUAUCGAAAUAACGCGUAGCGGAGAAAUUCGAACGAUGUUCUUAUGUUAAAGCCAAAAUUGUGAGUAUGCCAGAAUGUACAGGAAAUCAUUGUUUCUCGGAUGAGUUACAUAUUGAUUGUGAAAUGAGUCAGGUUUUCUUAAGCUUUCGUAAAAUCAUGAAAAAAUUACCGACAUUGGAAACCUUGAAAGUAGAUCCUUCCAAAAUUUUAUAUAGCGUUUCCACUAUAUCCGAUAAGUAUGAUGGAGAGCCUAUUGUUUCUGCACUUGCUGAUUUCAGGGAAGACCCAGAAACCCUUAAGGUGGUGAGAUACGGAAAAAGGUUAUACAGUUUGGAAAAUCGUAAGCUUUGGGUUUGCAAACAGGUUUCAAGGAUAGAAAGAAAGCUUGAUAAAAUAUCUGUUAAAGUCAAGAUGGAUAUGGAUACCAGUAUGUUGAAAUUUUUCACUGCAAACGAUUCAACUACUGUACAGAUAGAUAGAUCACAUUCCUUUUCCGGCCUCAGGGAAAUUUUCUUGGAUUUUCUGCAAUUAGAUGACAGUCACAAUUAAAAGUGUUUCUCACACGAUACUCAUCACUUUUUCAAUAAUGAUGAAUUUAUUUAAACAAGCUACAAACAUCCCGGUCCUUGCUGGGCGGACUUUAUGCAUAAUUAUUGUGAAAGAAGGAAAACGUUUUUGCUAAAUAGCCAACAAACUUAUUUUUCUUGACACUGUUAAAUCAUUAUUUAACAUCACUCACUGAAACUGAUGACGCAGUACACAUUAAAUAAACUCUGUACUUUAGCGCGUUUUAAAAGAGGUCGUUAAAAAUGCAUUGUUGAAUAAGUAAACGCCAUCAAAUUGAUUUUGAAAAGAUAGUAACUGUUUUGUUAUUAAAACUUCUAAAAUAG